rnacentral:rRNA from 1 species
UACAGAGGUCUCAAGCGUUGUUCGGAUUCAUUGGGCGUAAAGGGUGCGUAGGUGGCGCUGUAAGUCGGGUGUGAAAUUUCGGAGCUUAACUCCGAAACUGCAUUCGAUACUGCGGUGCUUGAGGACUGGAGAGGAGACUGGAAUUCAUGGUGUAGCAGUGAAAUGCGUAGAGAUCAUGAGGAAGACCAGUGGCGAAGGCGGGUCUCUGGACAGUUCCUGACACUGGAGCACGAAGGCCAGGGGAGCAAACGGG